UUUGAACAGGAUAUUUUAAUGUGCAAGCACUGAUUUUAAGUUUGUCAGAUACAAAAAAGGUGAUUUUCCUCAAUGACACGUUUUCUCCCGGAUUGUUGACACUAGUAAAUGCAACCGGGAAUUUCGUGUCAGCCAAGAAUGACACCAGAACCACACGCUUUUACUGCUAAUUAUUUUAGAUUCUCAGUUGGUAAAAUA